CGGUGGCGGCGGCCCGCAGCGCCCCGGCCGAGCGGGCCGGCGGCGACGCUGGGCGCGACGGAUGGCCGGUCCGAUCCUGGUCGCCACCGU
rnacentral:tRNA from 1 species